rnacentral:lncRNA from 12 species
GGAGGUCAGAUGUCUGACAUCAAUGGUCAGAAGACAUUCACUGGCACCUGAGUGGCUCAGUUCAGUAAACGUCUGCUUUUGGCUCGGGUCAUGAUUCCAGAGUCCUGGGAUCGAGCCCCACAUUGGGUUCUCUGUUCAGUGGGGGAAGUCUGCUUCUCCCUCUGCCCCUCCAUUCCCACUCAAGUGUUCUCUCUCUCUCUCUCUCAGAUAAAUAAAUAUUUUAAAAAAGAAAAGACGCUCACAAGACAGGAGUGCAGUUAGUGCCCUCUGAAGGCACUGGGGGCGAGGGCUGCUUCCACCCGAAAGUUGCCAAUAUAUUUUUAAAGAUGUUUACAUCUAUACUCAUGAGAGGGACUAUAAUUUAUUUUCCUUUUAUUGACCUUGCCUAAUUUGGGGACCAUGGUUAUUCUGUGAACUGAGAACGACUCCCUUUUUUUCUAUUAUCUGGGAGACUGCGUAAGGCUGAAAAGCUGGGUAUGAUGUCUUCUUUAUGGAAAUAUUGUUAACUACCGACUCAUCAUUUUAAAGUGCUCUGAGAUGAGUCAGGUUUUCUAUUUUACCUUAAGACAAUUUUGCUAUAUAUUUUUCAGGAAUGUGUUCAUCUUUUUUUUUAAAGAUUUUAUUUAUUAAAAAAAAGAUUUUAUUUAUUUAUUCAUAAGAGUCACAGAGAGAGGCAGAGACAUAAGCAGAAAGAGAAGCAUGUUCCCUGGGGGAAGCCUGAUGCGGGAUUCGAUCCCAGUACCCCGGGAUCAUGACCUGAGCCAAAGGCAGACGCUCAACCACUGAGCCACUCAGGAGUCCCAGGAAUGUGUUCAUCUUAAGUUUAAAAUUUUAUUUUUCUCUGAUUGUUUACUCUCUGCUCUGACUGCACUCCAACUCCUCUCUCAUUCCUAAAAGUGUUUGCCGCUGUUGCUCCAGAUGUGGUUAUGCUAAUUUUCUGCCAUUUUACGUUCUGCUUUUGUAAUGUUAUUGAUUUACUAUACUUGGAUCAGUUCAAUUGUCCUUUUUUCUUAUUAUUUUAAGCCCUCUGGAGCCGACUGGGACACGUGGAAUUUUUCUUACACUUUAGAAUUAGGAGCCCUUCAAAAUCCUGCUAAGACACACCACUACCAAGAAGCCACCUUUUGGAAAUUGAUAGAAGACUGACUCUAUUUAUGGUUCCACAGCACAAGCUUCCAGGCUGCUUUAGAAACCAUGCUUCCUCACACUCACCAUGAAAAAUCAAGGGGGAAAGUAUCAUUUUCCCAGCUUAGGUCCCACAUCCAACUUUUUGUCAGAGGAGGGUGGGACAUCAUAAGUGACAUUCCCAACAAGGUUGAAUUCAACAGGGAGAGCGCCACAGGGAAUCAGGGAGAAGAGUGAGUAGGUCCAAACUCUGAAUGUCCUAGCCACUUAUAUAUCUAGAGUCACAUGAAAAUACGUAGUUUAAAAAAAAAAAAGAAAGAAAGAAAAUACGUAGUUUUCUGAGAAUGCCUCUCAACGUAGGCAUUAUUGGUUGGUGAUGGUCUGUAUUACAGGAGGAAAACAUCUUUUUAAUCCAAGUAUGCCAAAAUAUACUUUUCUGACCAGUAAUAGAAACUAAAUACUACCCCCCAAAAAGAAAUUAAAUAUUACCAAACACAUUUUCAAGCAUUCGAUAAAUUGUUCUUAGAUUGAUUCCUGGAUUUGAAUUUUAACUCUGAUGCCUACCUUAGGGGCAGCAGUCUGCCGUGGGUCCUGAGCACCUAUGCAUAUUCUUUCUGGAUAUGCUAAGAAUCCAAGGCCUUGACUCCUCUUUACCUAAGCCCUUCCUCAGAGUUGCGUUUUGCAGGGAGCAAUUUUGAACGACGGAUAAACUCUCCUCCCAGACUAAAACCAGGGUUACUUCUGUUUGUGAUGAGUAGUGAAUCCCCUAAGCUCAGUGUCCCUCUCUUGAAACACACUGUGUGUGCAGCAGCCAUCACGCCCUGUGCACCAUCCCAUGGGGCCUACAAGGCACCAGAACCAACAUGAAUGAACAUAAAGCUCUCUCUGCUUUGCCACAAUAAUAAGGUCCUAAGACUCUGACUCAGGAAUUUUGUGACCUCUGCUAGCAUCUACGACACGGUAGGGUAACGGGUGAGCUUGCAACGAGGGUUUGCUCUCAGGUCAUGAAUGCACAGUUCUU